GGCAAUAGUUAUGAUAGAGUGAUAGAUACCUCUCUGUAGCAAACUGCUGUCGAUAUUCCUUAGAUUUCACUUGGAAGCUCAUCAUUUUGGCUAUUGGGUCUGCUCUUAACUCUCUAAGUACCCACUCUAAUGUUUUCUGAUUGACAGAUGGAAGUGCUCCCGGGCAGUACUGAUUUUCAGGCUAAUGCUCCUACUACAAUCAGCUCACUUAGGGCUUCUUUGUGCAGUCUGGAUGUCAGCUUUAACCCUUUGACAGUUCUUCGCUUUACUUCUUUGUCAGACAAACUUCUUAAGCCAGAUUGCAAUUUCUCUUCUUUUUCAGAGUUUUCACCUGGCAAAACGUUGAUGAUUUAAAUGUCAAAAGAGGCAGACUCCAAAUAAAAUGCUGAACAAACAAUUUUGAGGACUUAGACCUUUCUCUUCUGCCGUUACUAUUUCUCAAGCUUCUUCUGAUUCCCAGAUAAUGGGAUGGAAAAAAUGAGAUGCUGCAGUUUCACUCCGGUAGGAUUCAGUCUCAAACUACAGAGGUACUGGGUAAGCUGGUAUUUAUUUUACAUUUGUUCUGGGAUUCUUUCAGACAGACUGGAUGUUUGCACUGGACUCAUUGACUUUUUCCCCACCACUUACAUUGUCAUUCUGUGCUAUUCAGUUGUAUUUUAUAAUUGGGUAGUUGCAGUAAUGAGAAAGAAAAGUAUGAGAAAUGAUGUUCAGGUGGGCUGCAGUACUCUGUCUGUAGGCAAUCAUUGUGAAGCAGGAAGGAAGGGGAUGGGAAUAGCUAGAGAGAAUUGGCUUAAGGGGAAAUAGCCCAAAUCUCAGUUAAAACAAGAUAAAGUGGAAGAGAUAGAAUCUCCUGAUAAAGGUGUGUUCCCUUGCACUGCCGCUAAUGCGCGGGAGCAUUAAAUGUGCGGGAGAUUUUCUGGGGUUGUUAUUCCCUGCAGUCUCAGGAAGAGAAAGUAUCCCGGUCACAGAGGAAACCUUCAACUGCAGACAAACCACAGUCCCCAAAUCCUCUCAAGCUAUAAGGUUUCAAGCACGAAAUUCUUGAGCAAACACACCAGGUGCCUCUCUGCAUUGAUUGUGAUUUUUGGUGCUAAACAGAGAGCAUUGCAGAUGAUGCUGAAGGUCAAAUGAAGGUGGAGAAACCGCAAAACAGCACGACGCACCACCCAACUGCAAGCUAAUUGGGAAGGAAAUGGUUUCAAACUGACAGACUGUGGCCUGAUAACCGAAAUCUCAUAGGGACAAAAGGACUUUCCCAUCCAGUUUAGCAGGCAUGACAGGUCCAUGGCACUUAUCGGAAAGCUCUGGUCCAUUUGAAGUUAUCAAUUGACCUACAGAACAUUUAGAAACAUACCAGUGAUUGCACAUUUGAAGCUGGACCAGUCACUUUUCAAGUGCUCAAGACCCAUACGUGGCUGUACAGGAUGGUAUAGACAUUUUGACUUUAGUCCUCAAAUAAACAAGAGGAAGACAUAAACCUGAAUCUAGAGUGAAGGAAAAACAUCUCAUAGUUAUAUUCAAGCUGAUUACAGAUUAUACUACAAUUAUUUUUGGUCAGAUGGAAAUAAUAAGAUGGAGAAGGUUAAAGUGGAAUUCUAUGAGCAAGGACAGUUGACUCUACAUUCGGAGGCCCAACCCCGGGGCCACAGACCAGUACUAGUCCAUGGCCUGUCAGGAAGCCGCUGCAAAACAGGAGGUGAGUGGUGGGCAAGUGAGCAUUACCACCUGAGCUCUGCUUCCUGUCAGAUAAGCAGUUGCAUUAGAUUCUCAGAGCAGCACGAAGCUAUUGUGAACUGUGCAUGUGAAGGAUCUAGACUGUGUACUCUUCAUGAGAAUCUAAUGCUUAAUGAUCUGAGAUGGAACAGUUUCACCCCAAAACCAUCCCCACCACCCUGUCCAUGGAAAAUUUGUCUUCCAGGAAACCGGUCCCUGGUGCCAAAAAGGUUGGGGACCACUGUUCUAUGUGUCAUCCUUUGAGUGACAUGAACUUUCUGAUGAUGCAGAGACUUCAUGAAGUUAAAGAUUCAGUCACUGAGACUGGGACUUUACGGUUCAUGGGAUGAUAAACCAACAAGAAAGGGAAGUGCACCAUUGUCACAAAGAAAAUAUAUUUUAAGAGCACUGGAAGUUUUGCUGUAACGAAUUCACAGUUUUGCACGAUUUUA